GCCAGGUGUGGUGACUCACACCUGUAAUCCCAACACUUUAGGAGGCAGAGGUGGGAGGAUUGCUUGCGCCCAGGAGCUCAAGACCAGCCUGGGCAACAUAGCGAGACCCCAUCUCAA
ensembl:misc_RNA Metazoa_SRP Metazoan signal recognition particle RNA